rnacentral:lncRNA from 1 species
AGUAACUUGUAACAGUAACAGAUUCAUUUUCAGCAAACUUUCUUUUAAAGAAGUUUCUUUGAGUUUCUAAAUCCCAUUUCAUUCUAUUCAUUUUCUCAGAACGAAUUUUUCAGAAGAUAUUAAAUAUGUUGAUAAAUGUUUUGUUUCAAAGUGACGCCAAAGAUUAUACUAUUUUAAAACUGCAACAAUUUUGCUACAUAUUAGGCUUUCUUGUACUUUGUUUUCAGAAAGAAAUACUUUACUCCCCACUCUUCAUUGAAACCAGACACUCGGUAUACACUUUUCUUUUUUUUAACAUCCAUAAUGACGGGUGAAGAAAACGGAAUUGAAAAAAGAAAGAACGGGAAGGAUCCGUAAUUGUAGAUACCCAAAUGAAAAUGAAAAAAAUGAGUGUGGCUCCCUGCUGGUCUGACAUGUACACUGAAUAUAUAUUUCUUGAAAUACAUAACAAAUUCAAGUACCGUCGGCAGGCUGGAUGAACUGAAGUCACAAGCAAGAUCUGGCCCACGGGCCGUAGUUUGGUGACCUCUGCUCCAAUAUUCAACAAGGGUUUGAACUAAUAACUCUUCAACAAAUACUGAAUGUUACUCUUCGUAUUUUACGUUACAAGUGAUUACUUAAAAAUUAACAUGGAGUAAUGAUAUUACGAAACAUUCUUUCGUCCCAAUAUUUGUGAGUGUAUGUUUUGUUUUUUGAGAAGACAAACUGAAGAGUGAAUUUUCUAACCUGUUCUAAUGAUUAGUAGAGUUGAGUAUUAUGCAAUGAAAAAACUAUUUUUUCAAACUAGAAAAGGAAAAACAGUUGUUGCAUAUCCUCUUUCUUAGUUUUAUUCAUUAUUUAAUCGGUCGCCAUUGGUGUUAACUUAUCCAUGGACAUCUAGGGCUAUCUGGACUAUAUGUAGAUGAAUAAAAAAGCGCGCCAGCUCCAAGACACGGCUUGUUUUUAAAAUUGAUUAGUAAUUGUUUUCAAUAAUGAAAGAUCCAUUUUCUAUUCUUAUAGCUGCAGGAUUCUGAUCGGGACUGUUAAGUUUAAGGUAAUGCGAUGGAAGUGCUGUGACUCUGGAUGCAGUCAAGGUUUUUACUGCAUCCCCAAGAAUCUUAAGAUCUUAUACCAUAGUUUUCCUGGUUUCAAUGUUCCUCCUAAUCUGGAUCUUGAAUCCAAAUGGAAGAAGACUGUUCCAAGACAGAAAGUUGAUCUUAAAGUAAAUUCAAAGAAAUAGAAAAUUACUAAGGAUUUGUGCAGCUUCCAUUUCACAAAAUUGGAUUAUACCAAUCAUUCCGUUGAACAAAGGCAGGGCAGGGCAUUGGUCGUCAACUUAAUUGGCAACUAGAACUAAAGAAACUGAAAAAGGAUGUUGUGCCUUGAAUGUGGCCAAACCUUCCACUUUAUCUCUCUUCUCCUCCACCUCUUCCUAGACCCCCCUUAGUAUCUACUAGUGGCCUACGACUCGAGCUCGAAAACGAGCGUCAGGAAGCCUUGGAGCUCAAAAAUGUUUGGAAAAGAAGAGGCACUAACCGUUAACGACCUGUAUGAUAAGUUGCUAUUUGAAACAUGACCGUCGGGGUUUAUAUUUGUUAAAUCCCCAAAUUGGCCCUUGUUAAGCUCAAAGAGACUGAAGGCAGGGGCCUUGAUAUUAAGGCUAGCCUUGAAAUCCAGGAAGACAUUACCUUUCGAAUUUUUCAUCGGCAUUAUACGCUAGGCAAUAGUUCAGUCUCCCACUGUCUUACAACAAAGACUAAUGUCAUCAAAUCAGUUACUGAAGUUAUCAACAUUGAUGAGUAUUUAGGAUAAAAAUAGUUCUUGAAUAAUGAAGAGACUUAUGAAAUCAUCAUGAACAUAUCGAUAAAAUAAUUUGCAUCCCCAGACUUGGAGCCAAUUUAUUCUUCAAAAUUGUAUUCCGUCAUAGAACAGAUGACAUAACUCUUCAAGAACCCCAACAGAAGGAGAUUUUUACCUUUUCUUAAGUCGGUUUGUAUUCUAUAGCAAAAUGUCAGUAUAAGACUCUACGAUCAAAUCUUCGAGUCAAAUUACCUUAAAGGUUCCAUGUACCAAGUAUCUUAGAACUCUGUCUACUGCAGUUACCGCAGAGACUUGUAGUUGAUAACCACCCAGUCAAUAGGAAGUUCUUCACACAUUUUCUUUGUGGUGGUGAGCUCCAGACUUCAAUUACUCACCCACACAACAUCAAUAAAAAAACAUAUUUCAUCUUCGACCCUGUCCACAAUUAUAAAAAAUAUUUAGAACAGUUUCCAAAGGCAAGAAUACUUCAGCACUCCCCUGAACCCGUCUAGGAAUUAAAUCAUCAUUACACCCUAACUUUGGUCAUAUCAAAGAAAUUCACCAUAAAGAGUCAAAUUAGAGCUCCGAAACUACAAUCGAGGCAAUAGUUGAUACUGUGUGUCAUCGAGAUCACAAAUGGUCAAUCAUUUUUGGUAAGAUUUCACAAAUCCUCUUCAACGUGAUGGGCAAAAAUUUGGGUUUUUCAACUCAAUGACAACAUCCGAGAGAAAAAGAUCAUCCGAAGACAAACUCAAAUCUAGAAAGGUUGCCGAACUUCUUUCUGAUAAUGUUUAAGUUAUGACAAUUAAUAUUUCUGGUGUGGGCAUCUGUUUUUGAAAUAAUUAAUGUAAAUUAUAUUGGUGAUA